rnacentral:tRNA from 1 species
UGGGUUGUAGCUCAAUUGGCAGAGCACCGCACUGUGACUGCGGCCAGUGAGGGUUCAACUCCCUUCGACCCACCCA